rnacentral:rRNA from 1 species
AAUGGGGGCAACCCUGAUCCAGCCAUGCCGCGUGAGUGAAGAAGGCCCUAGGGUCGUAAAACUCUUUCGCCUGUGAUGAUAAUGACAGUAGCAGGUAAAGAAACCCCGGCUAACUCCGUGCCAGCAGCCGCGGUAAUACGGAGGGGGUUAGCGUUGUUCGGAAUUACUGGGCGUAAAGCGCACGUAGGCGGAUUAGAAAGUUAGAGGUGAAAUCCCAGGGCUCAACCCUGGAACUGCCUUUAAAACUACUAGUCUAGAGUUCGAGAGAGGUGAGUGGAAUUCCGAGUGUAGAGGUGAAAUUCGUAGAUAUUCGGAGGAACACCAGUGGCGAAGGCGGCUCACUGGCUCGAUACUGACGCUGAGGUGCGAAAGUGUGGGGAGCAAACAGGAUU